rnacentral:rRNA from 1 species
UACGGGGGGGGCAAGCGUUGUUCGGAAUUACUGGGCGUAAAGGGCUCGUAGGCGGCCAACUAAGUCGGAUGUGAAAUCCCCAGGCUUAACCUGGGAACUGCAUCCGAUACUGGAUGGCUUGAAUCCGGGAGAGGGAUGCAGAAUUCCAGGUGUAGCGGUGAAAUGCGCAGAUAUCAGGAGGAACACCGGUGGCGAAGGCGGGACUCUGGGCCGAUACUGACGCUGAGGAGCGAAAGCGUGGGGAGCGAACAGG